AUUGAACGCUGGCGGCAGGCCUAACACAUGCAAGUCGAGCGGUAGAGAGGUGCUUGCAUCUCUUGAGAGCGGCGGACGGGUGAGUAAUGCCUAGGAAUCUGCCUAGUGGUGGGGGGAUAACGUUCGGAAACGGACGCUAAUACCGCAUACGUCCUACGGGAGAAAGCGGGGGAUCUUCGGACCUCGCGCCAUUAGAUGAGCCUAGGUCGGUAUUAGCUAGUUGGUGAGGUAAUGGCUCACCAAGGCGACGAUCCGUAACUGGUCUGAGAGGAUGAUCAGUCACACUGGAACUGAGACACGGUCCAGACUCCUACGGGAGGCAGCAGUGGGGAAUAUUGGACAAUGGGCGAAAGCCUGAUCCACGCCAUGCCGCGUGUGUGAA
rnacentral:rRNA from 1 species